rnacentral:lncRNA from 1 species
UAAAUUGUCUCUAAAAAAGAAAAUAAGACAAAGCAAAACAAGAAUCCAUUUUGUAAAGCCCUAAAGACUUAUCUAAUUUUAGGUUUUAGUUCUUUAAAGGGUUUUCUAAUAUAUAUAUAUAUAUAUAACCGGACAGGAUUUACCUGAUUCCCGGUCCGGCCCACCUGGAAAACAGGGUCGGGAACCGGUUCUGGUUGAAACCGGUCCAGGAAUCGGUUCCCAAACCUGAGACCCUAUUUGAACCGGUCUGGGAACCGAUUCCGAGGGUUUACCCACUCGGGAACCAAAUCGACCAGACCAGUUUGGGAACCGAUUGGAGGAUCGGUUUGUAAGCCCCCCAAAAAGACCAAAACCCUAAUUUCUACUUUCUAUCUUUACCGGCUUCCUCUCCUCCCGCGACACCCGCAGACGGCAGCUUGCAACCUCCGCCCGUCCGGCGUCCGCCGAUCCUGGUUCUGCUCGCCCACCAUCGCCCCCCGAAAUUGUGACACCGCGUUUGUCAACCCGGUUCCUAGCUGCUUGCCAACCUUGCUCCGAGCUCCCCUCCCGAAAUCGCGAAGCCAAUGCUGCCUCUGCCACUCUUGUCGCACCCCUCGCGGUCGCACCACCGCCGCCGUUCCGCCGGUCAUCUAAAGGUGAGUUGCUCUGGGUGUUUACAUAUGAGUGUUGUAUAGUAAUUAUUUUGCAAAACAGAUUCCAAUAUAAACAGGGUUAACCCUGUUCCCGGACCAGAAAAACAGUGUGGGUUGAGAACAGGGUCCAAUGCAAACAGAGUCAAGUACAGGGUCCAAAAAAAUAGAACCGGUUAUAACAGGGUCAGGUACAAAGUCCAGGUCUAGACCCUACCCAUCUUGGACCCAAUCACCCCUAAUAUAUAUAACAAAUUUUCCGAUUUUUUUACUUUUUUAUGCUCCAAAUUUUUUAAAUAUUUUUCCAAUUUUUUUAAUUGUUAAUGACUUUUCCAGAUUUUUUAAAUUCUUAAUGAUUUUCUAAAAUUCCAUUUAUUAUUAUUAUUAUUAUUAUUAUUAUUAUUAUUAUUAUUAUUAUUAUUAUUAUUAUUAUUAUUAUUAUUAUUUGAAUUUGCUAUUUUUUUUUGUUAUUUCCUCAAGUUUUAGAAUUUUUUUAUCAUCUUCCGAAUUUUUAUUUUUUUAAUAUCUUUUCGAUCCAAAUCCGUUAUAAGGAAAAGAAAAUUUUCAAUUUUUAGUUUUUUUAAUGAUUUUUCUAUCUUUUCUUCAUUUUUCUCUUUUGUCUUCUUCUUUGUUUUGUCUUUUCCCCCCGCACCAUCUUCUUCCUCCAGCUGUCUUCUUCCCGAAGCUUUCCUCACCCCUUCAACUUCAUCUUCAUUCAGCCAUUUAACCCAAACCAUAAACUCAAGGCAAUACCAUCUUCCACCUUAUUUUUUUUAUUUUCACCGAUAUGUAAAUCGCUGCCGAGCCACCACCAAUCAGUGAUCACUUGUUUUGACCGACGGCCACCAACUCUAGCCACUCCCGACGACCACAACCAUGAAAAAAAAAAAAAAUUAUCCAAAACUAAUGUCCCUUCCAUCCUAGCCUUUGUAACAAACAAACAAUCCCCGAUACACUACAAAGCGAAAAGAUAAACUGACUGGGAUGGCUUGAACCAUAAACUUUGCCGGCGAAAGGGGAGGUCUCCGACGAACAACCUUCAGGUAUGGGAAUAUGCAUACACGUUGAACUUGAACCCGGAUUUUCACUAAAUCGCAUGAGAACACAACAAAAACACAAAUGUCGACAGGAUCCAACUGAUGCAGAACACAAAUGUCAACAGGAUCCAACCGAUGUAGAAGCAAACACAAAUCGAUAUUAAAGUUCAAUGAAAAACGAGGUUCAGCCUUCUUUCAAGCAUAUUAUCAAGCACGUGCAAGUUCCCAUUCCGAUUCGGUUUUAGCAUCGUUCUCAGCAACCAGUGCAGGCUCCGAACACCAUCAUUAGCGACCAAAUAGCCUCGUUUCCUCAAGAUCUCCCCAAAAGCAGCAAUUGAUUCAUGGAAAUUUUUUUGGCCUUUUUUAGACAUUUUAGCAAACUUAUAACGUACACUUUAGUAGGCAAACUACAGAUAUGUGUUCAUGGCCGAAUGAUGUUCAAUCUCAACGUAUAGAAGCAUGAAUCAGCAUUCUCGGUCAUAGAUCGAUUUCAUUUCUAUAGAGGGUAUCCACGACCUCGAAGAACAAACCUCGGAUUUCAGUUAGUAAAAAUUUAAAAAAUUAAAAAAAAAAAAAUAAACGGCAUUAAGGAGUUAGCUCUUGCCUGUUUCAGAGAUGGAACCGUUGCAGCUGCCGUACAAACGCCCAAUGACCUUCUUUCUCAUCUGAGGAUCGAACCUGCGGCCUCCACCUAGCCGUGGACAGCAAAGGAGUUCGGCAGCCGUGCGCCGACUUCUCUGGCGAUCUUCCUUCCUCAGCCUCUCAAGACCUCUUUCUCCUUCUAGCUAGGAAGUCUGGUCUUUUAUUGAAAAAAUUCUUAGAAAGAACUCUCCUCUCGCUCGCGUGCGAGAGGGAAAGAGAAGAGCCGAAGGCUCGGCCUUCGUUGCUCUCUUCUCGAGCCUUCGGCUCUCUUCUUGGGGAGCCUUCGUUGAAGCGUCUCGCUCGCGUGCGAGAGGGAAAGAGGAGAGCAACGAAGGCUUCUCGAGCCUUCGGC